CCUACGGGAGGCAGCAGUGGGGGAUAUUGCACAAUGGGGGAAACCCUGAUGCAGCGACGCCGCGUGGGUGAAGAAGCGCCUCGGCGCGUAAAGCCCUGUCAGCCGGGAAGAAAAUGACGGUACCUGAAGAAGAAGCCCCGGCUAACUACGUGCCAGCAGCCGCGGUAAUACGUAGGGGGCAAGCGUUAUCCGGCUUUAAGGGGUGUAAAUGGGGCGCUGGCGGCGAUGCAAGCCAGGUGUGAAAGCUCGGGGGCCAACCCCGGGACUGCCGUUGGAACUGCGUGGCGAGCGUGCAGGAGUGGCAGGCGGAAUGCCUGGUGUAGCGGUGAAAUGCGUAGAUAUCAGGAAGAACACCGGUGGCGAAGGCGGCCUGCUGGACUGCAACUGACGUUGAGGCCCGAAAGCGUGGGGAGCAAACAGGAUUAGAUACCCCAGUAGUC
rnacentral:rRNA from 1 species